UACAGGGGGGGCAAGCGUUGUUCGGAAUUACUGGGCGUAAAGGGUCUGUAGGUGGCCAACUAAGUCAGACGUGAAAUCCCUCAGCUUAACUGGGAACUGCGUCUGAUACUGGAUGGCUUGAGUGUGGGAGAGGAAUGCGGAAUUCCAGGUGUAGCGGUGAAAUUCGUAGAUAUCGAGAGGAACACCGGUGGCGAAGGCGGCCAACUGGACAGAUACUGACGCUGAGACACGAAAGCGUGGGGAGCAAACAGG
rnacentral:rRNA from 1 species